CCGUGGUGCACUCUGUGCGCACACUGCCUGGAUAUGAGGAUGUGGACCUGCGGCUGAAGUGGCCCAAUCACAUCUACUACAGUAACCUGAUGAAGCUUGGCGGGGUUCUGGUCAACUCCAUCGUCACGGGGCAAACCUUCAGCCUUCUGAUCGGCUGCGGCUUCAAAGUGAGCAACAGCAACCCGACCGUCUGCAUCAAUGACUUGCUGUGGCAGCAGAAGCUGGAUC